rnacentral:rRNA from 1 species
GAUGAACGCUGGCGGCGUGCCUAACACAUGCAAGUCGAACGGAGCCGGUUUUCGGAUCGGUUGAGUGGCGGACGGGUGCGUAACACGUGGGUGACCUGCCCUGGAGUGGGGAAUAAUUCCGCGAAAGCGGGACUAAUACCGCAUAGCCUGGUCCGUUCAGUCGGGUCAGGAAAGUCGCAAGACGCUUCAGGAUGGGCCUGCGGCGGAUUAGCUGGUUGGUGGGGUAAUGGCCUACCAAGGCGAUGAUCCGUAGGGGGCGUGAGAGCGUGACCCCCCACAUUGGCACUGAGACACGGGCCAAACUCCUACGGGAGGCAGCAGUGAGGAAUAUUGCACAAUGGGCGCAAGCCUGAUGCAGCAACGCCGCGUGCGGGAUGAAGGCCUUCGGGUCGUAAACCGCUUUUCUGAGGGACGAGACAGGAUGGUACCUCAGGAAUAAGUCUCGGCUAACUACGUGCCAGCAGCCGCGGUAAAACGUAGGAGGCGAGCGUUAUCCGGAUUUACUGGGCGUAAAGCGCACGCAGGCGGCUUCGUGCGUCGGCUGUGAAAGCUCCCGGCUUAACUGGCAGAGGCCAGUCGAUACGGCGAGGCUUGAGGUUGGGAGAGGGGUGCGGAAUUCCCGGUGUAGUGGUGGAAUGCGUAGAUAUCGGGAGGAACACCAGUGGCGAAAGCGGCACCCUGGCCCACACCUGACGCUGAGGUGCGAAAGCGUGGGUAGCAAACAGGAUUAGAUACCCUGGUAGUCCACGCCGUAAACGAUGUCAACUAGGUGUUGGUCGUGUUACACGAUCAGUGCCGAAGCCAACGCGUUAAGUUGACCGCCUGGGGACUACGAGCGCAAGCUUA